rnacentral:lncRNA from 1 species
UGACCAAAGUCAGACAACAGUGAUUAUAUUACUACAGUGAUUCUGGAGUGUUCUCAACAAAUAAUAACCUCAGAAACAAGUAGGCACUUGGAGACAUUGGGCUGUGGAUUCAGGUUGCCUAGGUUUGAAUCCUAGUCCCAACAUUUACUAAGGCUCUCUGAUAGUGGGCACAUUAUUUAACUUCCUCAGACCUGUUUCCCCAUCUACAAAAUUGGAUUACCUAUGCUCCAAGAGAGAGGCCAUGUGGGUACACCAUGAGAAGUCUGUCAUCUACAGGAAAGGAAGAGAGCCCUCCCAGGAAACUGACUUUGCCAGACUUUGACCUGGAACGUCUAUUCUCCAGAACUGGCUCCUUCUUCAUAGGCUGGGGGUGUAUACAAAGAGGAUAAUGGCAUUAAACCAGCAAGGAAGUGUUGCUCUCCAGGAUAGAAUGUACGAUUAGUAGAUGAGAAACUGAGACUCAUGGAGCCUCAACAUGAAGAUGAUGAAAAUGGAGACCUUCAUCGUGAUCCACUUCUAAUUAAUGAAUAGGAGGCUUGGGCCGAACUGGGUGAUCAGACAUCAUACACAGAGAAGGAGCAAGAGAGAGAUUACACAGAGGAGGAACAAGGUGUGCAGCGGACAGCCAGUGCCAAGACCUC